CAGCAGCCACGGUAAUACAGAGGGUGCGAGCGUUAAUCGGAUUUACUGGACGUAAAGCGUGCGUAGGCGGCUUUUUAAGUCGGAUGUGAAAUCCCUGAGCUUAACUUAGGAAUUGCAUUCGAUACUGGGAAGCUAGAGUAUGGGAGAGGAUGGUAGAAUUCCAGGUGUAGCGGUGAAAUGCGUAGAGAUCUGGAGGAAUACCGAUGGCGAAGGCAGCCAUCUGGCCUAAUACUGACGCUGAGGUACGAAAGCAUGGGGAGCAAACAGGAUUAGAUACCCCCGUAGUCCCUGUCUCUUAUAC
rnacentral:rRNA from 1 species